rnacentral:lncRNA from 1 species
UUGAGUGAUCACAGUUUUUGAGAAUCAUGAUGAGGCAUUAAAGAAGAGGAGGAGUGUCUCAAGGGAGGUGAGCUGGAGGUGAUGCAAGGUGGAGAGAGGAUGCCAGACAGAUAUUUGAGCAGAACAAAGAGAGCCAACAGGAUGAAGGCAUUCCCUGGCUGGUUGGACAAGCAACUGAAGAACAGGAACAGAAGUGAAUGAAAAGAGAAGAUGCUGUGUUUGUGUUUUCUCUUGGUUAGAAUGCUGUGAGUCAGGACCUUAGCUGCUGGGUGUCCUGGGACUGCCUUCGAUGAAGAACCUGAGGCUCACCUUGCUUAAGUGACUUGAGCAGCUUCACGCAUCUUUCUGACAUUCCAGCAAUACCGGAGCAUUGACAGUUGAUAAUAGCUCUAUGUGCUACCUCUCCAAGAAACAAAUUUGCAUUUUAACCUGCCCCUUCAAUGGCUGAACUUCAAAGGGUCACUGAUGAAUGCCACAGCAGAGAAAACUGCAAAUUGGAACAGCAGAGCUGUGCCUCUGGCCAUUUCCUGGAACUACAGAGGAGCAACUUGCCCCGGUUUCCAGUGGGUGAUGUUCCUCUUCUGCCACAGUCCCUGGCGAUGUUGAUGUGAUUGCCAUCAGAGCUCAGAAGCACAGAGCAGAAUCAUCCCCUGGAGGAGGAUUCCCUUCAGUGUAAGAAGUUCUUACAGAAUUAAUCCUCAAAGACUGUGGGUGGACUCUGCCAGGUUUUUCCCCGGGUGUACCAGAAGAGAGGAAGAGCCCUCAAAUACAGGAAAGUGCUCUUUUCAGUGACAGUAGUUCUUUUGGGCCCUGUGGCUAAGUGUGCUCCCACCCCAGCAGUAAGAUCACAGCUAAUCCUGAGAGGCAAGAGCUCACACCAGGCUACUGAAAGAAAAAGUGUCCUUUGUGGAUUGCAAGAGGAACUGGGACACACUGCUGGAAAUGAAGUGGCAGGUCAUAAACUAUCAUAAACUCAGGAGGAGAGGUGUUCCUUUUUGAGACACUCAUCACAACUAGAGAGAAUGCAGCUAAGAAAAUGCAGUCUUUAGGGGGACCUGGACUGUUGAAGUAUUUGAGCUAUUCGGAGGAAAUAGAAACUUGGAAGAGAUCUUUGUUCCACUAUUAUUUGGCAGCCCCUUACCCGCAGCUGCCAUUACUCCAGAUUCUCUCUGAUGAUCCUGCAUCAGGAGAAUGAGUUGACUGGGCACCACUGGGAAAUGUGGGCAGCUCCAGGCUGAACUAGAGAAGGGGCAUGUCAAAGGUCACUUAUUUGUGGCUUGACCCUUUGGAGGCCAGAUGUAAGAAUCAAUUUCUCACAGGUCCCAUGCUAACGCUUUUCAUAUUUAUUUCCAUCUGAGACUCACUUAGGCUAGGCAAAUAUCCCAUGGGUCUGUACCUCUCCAGUGCUUUCUUGCUCAUGUAAAAUUAGCUCAUUGGAAUGAAUAAAGAGAAUGGUAUUACUUUGGCUCGAACACGAAUGAGCACUUUCACUUUGUCAUAGUGUAAAUAUUAAAGUUGUAAGAGACAGCCCAGGGACCAACUAUUUUUUUUUUAAAGAUCCAAGUGCUUGCAUAGUUUCUAAAAUUCUACACCGGGGAACUAUAUCCUCAUUCAGCACUGAGACUCCUUGGUUCCCUAAAACCAAAGUCUCCAGGUGCCUUCAGGGGCCAACCAAGAUGGAGCUCCUUAUAGACCCAUGCAAUGUCAGAACUGGAAAACUUAGAAAUCUUUCAGUCCACCCAUCAUUUUAUGGGUGGCAAACUGAGAUCCAGAGAAUGCUCAAAUCUCAUAAUUAGCUAUGAAAGGUUAUGAUUAAAAUGCAAAUUUGGGGCCUCCAAUUUGGUCCUCUUUUCACUCUCCUUCUUGCUGGGGAAAGAACAGUGAUUCCUUGAUUGGCAGAGCAGAAAAUAUCUUCAGUUUUUAGGAUGACUUUAUUCCCCUAAAGAGUAUCUUUGUCACAUCUCCUCCUUGUCCAUUUUUAGAGACUCUACAGUGUUUAGCUACUGGUAGAUUUGUUCUAGUGGAUCUGGUACAAAUCUUAUAGAAAUAUCUACAAUUAUUCCAUGUUAUUCUGAAAUUAUUCAUACAGCAUUUCUUCUGUUUUAUUAGCCAUUUUUAAGGGAGAAGGAACCUAAGAUUAAUUGCUAUGGCUACAUGUCAUGCUCACCAAUGAACUCACCUCAUUUUAAUCCUCAUGAUCUAUUAUAGUAGGAAUGCUUGUUGUACAUAAGUAUUCAGGAUUACUGAAUCCACUUGAAUUUUUUGAGGACAGUGGCCAAAUACAAUUCUGUGGUCAAUUUAGGCUGCUCCUACUGUUCCCUGAUGUUAGGCAUUUUCUUCCACUAGGUCCUCUGGAAGGAUGAAAAACAAGGCAUUAUUAUACUUUUGAAUAAAAAUGGUUUGCCAAACAGAUUAUGUUUGUAGUUUGUGCUGUUGAACAGAAAUAAUAAAGAACUCUACUUGAAGUCUGAAACAAAUUCAGGAAAAAAUUAAAGGCAGUUUUAUUUUACAUAGUAGGGAGUAGAUUUUAGGAACUCCUUGCUCCUGGGGUAGAGCAUAUGAAUGUGUAUUCUAGAGAGAUUCAGACAAAUUCACUUAUGUUAGACAAAUGACUUUAAGGGAAACUAGGAAUGUUUUCAGGGCACAUAACCUUGUAUUUAAAAGAUACUGUUAUUAGAUCAUUUUUUCUCAUUAUAAAAAUAUGUUUUCAUUGAAGAAGAAAUUGUGGUUUACAUACAAUUAUAAAAAGAA